AUUGAACGCUGGCGGCAUGCCUUACACAUGCAAGUCGAACGGCAGCACGGGUGCUUGCACCUGGUGGCGAGUGGCGAACGGGUGAGUAAUACAUCGGAACGUACCUUAUCGUGGGGGAUAACGCAGCGAAAGCUGUGCUAAUACCGCAUACGCUCUGAGGGGGAAAGCGGGGGAUCGCAAGACCUCGCGCGAUUAGAGCGGCCGAUGCCUGAUUAGCUUGUUGGUGGGGUAAAAGCCCACCAAGGCGACGAUCAGUAGCUGGUCUGAGAGGACGAUCAGCCACACUGGGACUGAGACACGGCCCAGACUCCUACGGGAGGCAGCAGUGGGGAAUUUUGGACAAUGGGGGCGACCCUGAUCCAGCAAUGCCGCGUGAGUGAAGAAGGCCUUCGGGUUGUAAAGCUCUUUUGUCAGGGAAGAAACACCGGCUCUAACACAGUCCGGGAAUGACGGUACCUGAAGAAUAAGCACCGGCUAACUACGUGCCAGCCGCCGCGGUAA
rnacentral:rRNA from 1 species